rnacentral:lncRNA from 1 species
CUUGGCCUCAAGUGAUCCUCCCCCCUCACCCUCCCAAAGUGCUGGGAUUACAGGGGUGAGCCAUAAUGCCCGGCCUAAAACAUGCUUUUAAUUAACUUUAAAAAAGUGAAUAAAAUAUAUAGUAAAAUCGAAAUCAGAGUGCUUUUGAAACAAAUGAAAUGUAAGACUUUUAAUAAGCUAGGUGGUUAUCAAUGGUCAUAUCAGAAGAUUGAAAAUAUCAACAUUAUAAAUAUCAAUAAACUAUGAGAAACUUGGAAAUUCUUUCAGGAAUGUGAAGGUGACUUAGAGCUAGCAGGUGCUUUUCACUGUGUGCAUCAUGCAGAUUGGAAUAAAUAUUUCCCCAGGGUGUAAAAAUCUCCGAAGCUUUCUCUCCUACACAGUGAAAUUACUACAAUUUAAUAUUCAGUGUUACCAACACCUUCCCUUAUAUAAUAAGGAAAUUAAAGCAUGAAGUAGGAAAAACAAGCUGGAUAUAUUGAGACAACUCUGGAUCAACACUUCCUGGAAGGUGGGAGGACAGAUUUAUUCUAACCUCUGAGCGUCCUGAUUCAAACAUUUGUUCGGUUGUCCUUGGCCUAGGAUGCCCUUAUUUUUGGCCUGGUAGACACCUCCUCAUUCUCCAAGAUUCACAUUAAGUUCAGCUUCUCUGUGAAGGCUUCUUUCACCCUAAGGGUAAGUUGACCCUUUUCCCGUCUUCUUUGCUAACACUGCAUACUCUUUGUUUUUUUUGCAAAUAUAUCUUACUUUCCACUAUAUGUGAGCUUCUUGAGGGCAGGGAUUUAAAUAUAUAUAUGUAUGUAUUUUAUUUACUUAACAUAGUACUUACUAAGUGCGUGGUGCUAUUCUAAGCACUACAUAAGUUAUUGAUCAUUUAAUCCUUGUAAUAGUCCCAUGAGGCUUAUUAUUAUCUCCAUUUUGUAGAUGAGGAACCUGAAGUGCAGAGUGUUCAGUAACUUUAUUCCUCUCUGUUUCACCAGAACCUAAAGGUGAUUCUUUGCAUACAGUAGGCAUUCAUUCAUUCAAUAAAUCUUUAUUGAAUACUAUAUAUAUAUAUAUA